rnacentral:rRNA from 1 species
CUACGGGUCGCUGCAGUGAGGAAUAUUGCACAAUGGGGGGAACCCUGAUGCAGCAACGCCGCGUGGAGGAUGACGCAUUUCGGUGUGUAAACUCCUUUUAUAUGUCAAGAAAAUGACGGUAGCAUAUGAAUAAGCACCGGCUAACUCCGUGCCAGCAGCCGCAGUAAUACGGAGGGUGCAAGCGUUACUCGGAAUCACUGGGCGUAAAGGACGCGUAGGCGGGUUGGAAAGUCAGGUGUGAAAUCCUACAGCUUAACUGUAGAACUGCACUUGAAACUUCUAAUCUAGAGUAUGGGAGGGGGAGAUGGAAUUAGUGGUGUAGGGGUAAAAUCCGUAGAUAUCACUAGGAAUACCUAAAGCGAGGGCGAUCUCCUGGAACAUUACUGACGCUAAGGCGUGAAAGCGUGGGGAGUAAACAGGAUUAGAUACCCUAGUAGUC